GACGAACGCUGGCGGCGUGCUUAACACAUGCAAGUCGAACGGAAAGGCCUCGUUUGCGGUGUGCUUGAGUGGCGAACGGGUGAGUAACACGUGAGUAACCUGCCCGUGAUCUUGGGCUAACUUCGGGAAACUGCGGCUAAUACCGGACAGAAUCUCCUGAGGCAUGGUGGGGGUUGCAAAGUUUCGGCGGUUGGGGUUGGAGGCGCGGGGUAUCAGCUUGUUGGUGUGGUAGUGGUUUACCAAGGCUGUGACGGGUAGCCGGCGUGAGAGAGUGAGCCGCGGCAAUGGCACUGACAUACGGCCCAGGCUGCUACGGGAGGCAGCAGUGGGGAAGAGUGCACCAGGGGUGGAGGGCUGGUGCAGCAGCUCCGUGUGCUGGAUGACAGCCUUCGGUUUGAAAACCGCUAUCGCGCAUGGCGAAGCGUGGUGUGACGGUAGUGGGUAAAGAAGCACCGGCUAACUACGUG
rnacentral:rRNA from 1 species